AGUAGUGAUACGCUGCGGACGAAAGAUAAUAAGCCAUGCAUAUGUCAGUAUAAGCGUUUAACAUCGUGAGACUGUGAACGGCUCAUUAGGCUCAGUUAUAGUUUAUUUGAUAAUGGUGCCCUUGAAAUUAUUGAGGUGACAAACUAAUUGGAUAACCGUAGUAAUUCUAGAGCUAAUACAUGCAUAGAACUGUCCUGACUUUUGCGGAAGGGAUGUAUUUAUUAGAAAAGAAAGUCGACAUCAAUUCACGAACGUGAAUGAUAAUAACUUGUAUAAUUGUGUCAGUAAAAUGGCGCAGUUAUCGAUGCGAACCGAAGCUCGGUUGAAAUAAACCGUCGGUGAGUCAUUCAAAUUUCUGAUCUAUCAAACUUGAAUGUAGGGUAGCGGCCUACAUUGGUGGUGACGGAUACGGAGG
rnacentral:rRNA from 1 species